CACUACAUCUACACCCACCACCACAACUGUCAGAUCUUUGCCCACCUCUAUACAUACAUCCAGCACAACUCCACCCACCAUCACACCCUCACCCACUGCUACCAAAUCUCCAUUAAUAACUGCUCAAGGCAUUACAUCCACACCUCCACCUACAUUCACCUCUCCUCCUGGUUCCACCUCCAACACUCUACCUCCAUCAAUGAUGUUGGUCUCCUCUGUUGGAUCAUCCUGUGUUGUGGUUCUACUGGUGUUACUGGUUCUGCUGGUGAGACGAUGUGCUCACAGGAAACCUGAAGCAGAUCAAGAAGAAGAUGACAUCAUCACUUAUGUCAUGUACAGUUACAUUCAAUUAUCAGAUCCUCAACAACAGCCAAUCAGAAAAAGCAAAGAGACUGAUACAACUGUGGUCUACCCAGCAGUGGGCUCUGACGAUGUCAGUAAUGGACAAACAACCAUCAGGACAAGAAAGCUCAGGUACAGCUGGGCUGUUCACCCUGUUUACCGUCAU